rnacentral:rRNA from 1 species
AUUGAACGCUGGCGGCAGGCCUAACACAUGCAAGUCGAGCGGAUGAAGGGAGCUUGCUCCUGGAUUCAGCGGCGGACGGGUGAGUAAUGCCUAGGAAUCUGCCUGGUAGUGGGGGAUAACGUCCGGAAACGGGCGCUAAUACCGCAUACGUCCUGAGGGAGAAAGUGGGGGACCUUCGGACCUCACGCUAUCAGAUGAGCCUAGGUCGGAUUAGCUAGUUGGUGGGGUAAAGGCCUACCAAGGCGACGAUCCGUAACUGGUCUGAGAGGAUGAUCAGUCACACUGGAACUGAGACACGGUCCAGACUCCUACGGGAGGCAGCAGUGGGGAAUAUUGGACAAAGGGCGAAAGCCUGAUCCAGCCAUGCCGCGUGUGUGAAGAAGGUCUUCGGAUUGUAAAGCACUUUAAGUUGGGAGGAAGGGCAGUAAGUUAAUACCUUGCUGUUUUGACGUUACCAACAGAAUAAGCACCGGCUAACUUCGUG